rnacentral:rRNA from 1 species
UACGUAGGGUGCGAGCGUUGUCCGGAAUUAUUGGGCGUAAAGGGCUCGUAGGCGGUUUGUCGCGUCGGGAGUGAAAUCCACUGGCUUAACUGGUGGCUUGCUUUCGAUACGGGCAGACUGGAGGUAUGCAGGGGAGAACAGAAUUCCUGGUGUAGCGGUGAAAUGCGCAGAUAUCAGGAGGAACACCGGUGGCGAAGGCGGUUCUCUGGGCCUUACCUGACGCUGAGGAGCGAAAGCGUGGGGAGCGAACAGG